rnacentral:rRNA from 1 species
GAAUAUUGCACAAUGGGCGGAAGCCUGAUGCAGCAACGCCGCGUGAGGGAUGACGGCCUUCGGGUUGUAAACCUCUUUUAGCAGGGAAGAAGCGAGAGUGACGGUACCUGCAGAAAAAGCGCCGGCUAACUACGUGCCAGCAGCCGCGGUAAUACGUAGGGCGCAAGCGUUAUCCGGAAUUAUUGGGCGUAAAGAGCUCGUAGGCGGUUUGUCGCGUCUGCUGUGAAAUCCCGGGGCUCAACCUCGGGCUUGCAGUGGGUACGGGCAGACUAGAGUGCGGUAGGGGAGAUUGGAAUUCCUGGUGUAGCGGUGGAAUGCGCAGAUAUCAGGAGGAACACCGAUGGCGAAGGCAGAUCGCUGGGCCGUAACUGACGCUGAGGAGCGAAAGGGUGGGGAGCAAACAG